rnacentral:piRNA from 1 species
CGGAUAAUGGACAUGGUGAGCAACCAGCAC